GGGCGGGCCGGGCCGUGGCGGCACGAGCCGGGGGAUGUGUGCUGGGCUCGUGCUGUCAACUCAUCCCCACUGUGCCCACUAACGUGUCACUCAGUGCCACAUCUCUACGUUUCUUGAGAACUGACUCUGCCAUCUCCCUGGUCAGCUUGUUCCAAGAAGUGAGGCCAACAGCUCCAAGAGUGACCACAGCGAUAUCCAGCAUCCGUGGCACUGACAUCGAGACUGGCUGGGCCAUGAGGUCAUACAGCUGGGAGGAAGAAGAGGAAGGCCUGGAUGCAUUGAGGAAGAGAGUUGAACUCAGCUCUGCUAUACAGGAGAUGAAUAUUCACCCUGGGAUAUAUAUAUAUAUUCUUAAAUCUAUUAAUUUAUUUAAAAGCAAGUAAGUUCAACUUCUGAACAGUGCACGGUAACUGUUAGGGAAGCUCUCUCUUUUUUCUACCCAUCUUUGUCCUCCUUUUAAACACUCCUAAUUUUGGUCGGGACUGAGAAACAGGGGCUCUCAAGUUCUUCAUGCAUUUUACAUCUCUGAUCUAAUGAUCAAUUGUAAAUCAAUUUUAGCUUGUUCAUUUACUGCCAUUCAUUCUGUCAUGAUGAUAACAAAAUCAUGGAAAACCAAUAUGCAUCUUUCACCAUGUACAUUUGAAUUACUAAAAACAUAUUCUUGCAGUUCUUUCUUAGGGUUCAUUUAUUAAUUAUUAAAAAUAAAGAAAGAAAUCAAAGAAGAUCUCCUGCCAAGAAAUAUGUAAAAAGCUGAAUACCUUAGAAUAUUUACGCUAAAGUAUUUUGGAAAUGCAUUAUCUUCACAAAAGAAUCAUUGAAACCUAGGAAAUGUAGUGAAAAUAUUGUACUUCAAUAAAAUGAAAUAUGUUAAAAAAGAAAAUAUAUCAAGUCGUCCAGGCAAAUUUAAUUUUCUGCUAUAAUGAGAACCUGAGGGAAACAUGAAGUUGAAUUUAGUUUAUUUCUGUAGACUCUUAAUUUUUAACUAUUUCUGCAUAGUUUUACUAAGAAUUAGGAUUGUAUGACUUAAUCAUUAACUUCUCCAUCUGCAUAAUUUUAGAUUUUUUUUGCAAGCUUAAUCCAACUCUGGGACUGGAAAUCAUAUCUUCUAACUGGAUGGCUACAAGAUGAAGUGACUAGGAAAAAAGCAGGGGAAAAUCAGAACUAUUAUGUUCAUCUCUUAUACAGAGAACACAAAACCUACUGUAAUUAUGUCAUUUCCUCUCUCAUUAUGGUAUUGAGAGCUCAGACCCAUUUUUAUGUAGUGGUGCAAAACAGUUUGCUAUUUAAGUAUAGCUUACAGGAGCUACUUUGUAGAAUUGAUAUUCACAUAUGCCACAAAUCAAUUGUUCCCACGAUAUUAAAAGGGAAAAUUAUCUUGAUCUUUAAAAAUUCCCAAACCUUGGUAAGUCUCCUUGAGUAAUUGUGAUAUAAUUUUGGGUCAAUGUGCUUUGACCAAAGGUCAAUCCAAAUGAAUAAUCCAGGGAACAUUUGUUUUCCUACUGGUAAUCCUUUUUUGUGCAUGCUUAUGUACGCACAUGUAUAUGUGGUAACUGAAGAGAAAAAAAAGCUCAUAAUAUUUAUACAUUAGGAAAUCAAAGGGCUUUUCUCUCUUCUUUUUCUCUUCUUUCUUUUUCUUUUUCUUUUUUCUUCUUCCAAAUAACCUCUCUUUUCAACUUUGAAAGAUCUUCUUUAUAUGAGGAAAUUUACUAGAGACUACAGUAGUAUAAUUAUGCCUCGUGGACACUUUUUAAUUUUAUAUGAACGCCUGUAGAAUACAAGUGUCCACAUUGGGAGUUAUACCAUCACAUCUAGAGUGGUGUAAUUAUUCUAGUGAGUUCUGUAUGAAGACAAAUGCUUUAUGAAAGGGGAUUUUAUUUCGGCUCUUCACUUUUCAGCUUUUUCAGGUUCUGAACCUAAAGGUGUUGAUCAAAUCAAUGAAAGUAAUGAAAAUUCAAUGUUUACCAAGUAGACUGUCAAGUGCUGAGGAAAUCAGAAAGCAAUAAGUAUAUCUGCUUAGUGAUUAAUAUUCAUGUGCAUUUUCAUUCUUAUUCUCUCAACAGUGGUUGAGUUUGGGAGGAGUUUAGUGAAAAUUGAUAAAUAGUCUGUUGAUUUUUUUUUUUUUUUGCUUAGACUCAUAAACUAAUAUAGCCAAUAUCUAAAUGCUGGCAGUGCAUUAUGGAUUCUUAGCCCUCAGAAAUAACAUCCAGAAUUUCAGAUGAAUAUGACACUAGAGAAUUUUAUGAAUGCUUCAUAGCGUCUGCAGGUCUUUUGUAGCUUGCAUUGUCCAGAUCAGACACGGAAUGUCUCUAUUUCCUAUCUCUCAGUUAAAUUUUAUUUACUUAAAUAUGUGUGUCUUAGGAUAGUAGUCAAAAUAUUUUAUAUGAUAAUCACCCAUUUUCAAGAAAAUAACUUUCAGAAUGUCAGUAGGGGUAUGGAAAAACAUAAGUAUUUAUUUACACAAUGUGCUUAGACUGAAUUACAAGCAUAUCUCAAUGUAAUUGUUUCAUAGACUUUAAGGCAAGCAGAGCCCAGUCGUUUUGGUGACCUAAUCUUGUCCAACCUUUAUAUUGAUUACAGAGCACUAGCCUGACAGUCUUGCUUGAAGACAAUUAUUUCAAGGCGAACUUCAUGAAAAAGAUAUCUGCUUCAUAGUUAAAGAGUUCAGAUGACAAAGAGUCCACCACACCUAUCCCAACACUCACUGCUCAGAUGAAGUGCUUUAUUUGUGGUCUGAACUUGGCUUUGACUUCCCUUGUUGAAUCUUUGCUGGAUUAAAAAGGCCUUUAGCACUGGCCAUCGUUCAAUGAAAAUACUUAAGUGCUGAGAUCAAGGCAUCUCAGUCCUGUUUUGUUAAGCAAAUCUCAUUGAGCUGUUCUUGUUUCUAACCAUAGGGCAAGACUUCUGUACCAUCAGUUUUUUUCUGUAGUUUCUUUCAAGUUGCAAGCUUACAAACAUUUUUUUUUCUUUUUUUCUUUUUAAGUAAGGACAUCAGGACUGUAUGUGGCUGCAGUGGUUACCUAAUGAGAGAUUUACAGCAUGUGCUGAGCAAAAGUGUGCUCUUCCCUUUCCGUUUUUGAAGCAUAGAGGAAGAAAUAAGGGCAAAUAGCAAAAUUUUCAUUUUUCAUAUGCUUUGUCACAAACAUUCUAUAAUGAACAAUGCCACAUCAGGUCUUCCAAUGGAUAUUAUGCUUUCCCAAAUGAAGCUUCUUAGAGGGACACACCAGCAUGGUAUCUUGCUGGGUUAACCAGAAUACUUGGUUUGCCCUGGCUGGCAUUACACACGAUGGACGGCUUUUUUUUUCUUCAUAUUUAGUUUAUCUGCUAAAACUUCUUUGAAGGUUGAAAAUACAAGUCUCCAAUUUUAUAUAUUGUUUAUUUUUGUUCCAGCAUGUGUAACUUCAUUGAUAAAGUCAUUUGUCACACAGGCAUGAAUUAAAGUGAUAUGAGUGACAAGAGUAAGUAGCUUGGCUUUGCUAUUUUCUGUUUUUUUCCUACUUUGUCUACUCAAUUUUUGUUUUCAAAACAUCUCAAUAUUUUUUGCCCAAGACAGUGAAUGCAAGUAGUCGAAAAAGUAUUUCCAAUGAACUCUGUCUUGAAGCUAUGCAAAUGGAAAAUGAGUCUAGUUUUUGCUACAUGUAGAACUCUGUCAGUUAUCUAUUUUGUAAUUAAGUGCGGAGAUUUUUGCAUAGUGCUGACAUUGUAAUCACUGUCACGCAAUGGUUAGGUAAGUGUUUUAAAAGCAUCUAAGUAUAUGUUUUUGCAUUUGUACUCUGCUGCUCUGAAGCUGCUUCAGGCCUGCUGUGCAAGCAAAACGAAACAAAAUAUUUAAAUUUUCUUUUACCUAGUAAUAGUUUCCAGUCCUCAGCUGUUUUCUGGUGAGCAGACUACAUGCUAGUAGCUUUAGCUAGAUGAUAUGAAAGAUUUUUUGUGUCCUGAAAAUAAUGGGAUCAAGUUUACAGUGGUUCUGUGGGUCUGUGUAUGAGGGACAGCAGCACUCCCAGCACACACAGAAAAGGGAACAAGGAAGUCCAUCAGCCUGAGGACUGCUUGCAACACACCCCUGAGAAAAAUGAGAGGUACUUGAAAUUGUGAGUAGAGAAACUGUUUCCUGCUGUUUGCUUCCUACUGCGUUCAGGGAAACAGUACAUCAUGUACAGGCUUUGUAAAUAAAUGGGAUUGCGUUGGAUAAAUGCCUGCCUCUGUCACCUAUUUGAGGCAUAGCAUACACAGUAUAAAAAAAAUCAACUAAUUAUCUCUAAUUGCAUUUAUCUACAACAUUUAUAACGUCUUAGAAUGUACUUAAAAGAGGUGACUUGACAGAUGACAUAUUGCUGAAACUGAACUAGAGCUACAUGACAAGUCUGCUUUACAGUUUGGAGCCAUAGUUACAAAUUAUAUAUUUCUAGUAGCAUCAGGUUCUUCUGUUUGCUUUGUGUUCUCUAGUCAGAACAAAAACUUGAUAGUAAUGGGAGUGUAGAAAAGCCUACAUUGGAAGAAUGCUCUGGAAGCUAUCUGUUCCAAGGACCUAGGUGGGCCCAGAUGUGCUGCUCAGGGGUCUGCCCAGCCCUGUUAUUUCAGGGAGGGAGGUUCCCCCAGUGCUCUGGGCAGCCUGUUCCAAGGUUCUGUUGCUUUCAUGGUGAAGGAUUUUCAUCCUAUACCUGGAUGGGUUUUCUCCUGAAGUACCUUGUGCCUAUUGCUUCUUGUUCUGCCAACUGUCCUUUCUUCUGAAGAGAACCUCCAUUUUCUCUGUUACAACCUUUUAGGUGGUAGACGACUGUCUUCUCCUUUCAGCUGUCUCUUUUCUACACUGAACAAACACAGUUAUUUCACUCUUACUUCAUCUGUUAAUUCCUGCAGUCCUCUAAUCAUGUCAGUGGCCCUCUACUAGACCCUCUCAUUUUUUUUUAAUGUCUCUUUUGAUCUGGAUGGACCAAGACUGGACAGAGUUUUCCUUCUGUUCCCUAAUAAUCCCGAAAACACAAUUUCAUUUUUGACUACUUAUAAUGUAACCAAAGCACAGAAGUUCACAAAACUCCAGGAAGCAAAGGGAGGUGCUCUCCUUAUUUUACCCUAAAGCCCAAUGACUUCAGCAUUCACCCACAGUAUGGGAGACCUGGGUUCAAUUCUUGCCUUCUUUUGAAGAGUUGGACCCAUGUUGCUUGCAACCCUGAGUGGUGCCCUCAGGUGGAGGCUGUAACAAGCCAUGACAUAUUCCAGGGUUCCUUCAAACUCUCUUGAUGCCACGGUAAUAUUUUUGUUUAAUAUACUGCUAGUAUUUCUCAUGACCUGCAAGUGUCUUACCUCCUCAGUUAACCUCUGCUAACUUGUCACUCGUGCAGCCUCUACUCUUCUUGCUUUACUUCAGAAAUGCAAAAGCCUAGAUAAAUUCUCCAAAAGUUUGCCUAGGUCUGGUGUGAUCUUUAUGACAUACUAUGUGUUAGCUUUCUCUCCUUUGAUGUGAAUGAACUUGCCUGGAGUUAAGUGAUUAGUCAUCACUUGAAUACUUCCAUCUUGGUGUGCUGGUGAGUAAGUACCGGCUACCUGAAUUUAAUUAAAAAGAAGGCACUCUUUGUAAUACUUUUUUCUUUGAGCAUGGUGGUACUUGGGCUUCUUCAUUCCUUUUGUACUUCACAUAGCCUUAUCUGUACAACAUAGUAAUUUGUGAUGUGAUAAGAAAUCUAUUUGUUUUGUUUUUGUGGAGUCAGGAAAGAUCUAAAAAUAUUUUCAAGUGCUGCAGUUUUUUAACAAAAGAGACUUCGUUAUAAUGUUUGAUGUACUGGGUAAUAAAAUGUUGGUCAAUA